UGAGAGCCGCCGGGCACUAGGCGCGCAGGUCGGCGCCGGAGUGGCACGGGCGGGCGGGGGCGGGGUGGGCGCGGACGCCCCUCAGCACACACUCCGCACCCGGCCCUGCAGGAAGCUCGCGCUGAUUGACAGCUGCGUUGUCCCAAAAAGGCUCAGCGAAGAUGCUGAUCUGCGGGUGGGUCUAGACGCGCGGCAGGCGCGCCCGCUACCCGCUCUCCUCCGCGCGCCACCCGAGC
rnacentral:lncRNA from 10 species